UGAGAUGCUUCAUUGUCUGAGGACCCUUCCCUCCCCACAGACCUCCAUUUGUGUUUCCUCUGCAGAACGAGGUCGCUCAGUCAUCCCCAGCAGAGAGGCUGCGAAGUUGGAGCAGGGUCGCUGUGACCCAGAGUCCUGAUGCGCUGCCUCGGUGGGACAUGUGGCUUCCUCCCUCAGGCCCCGGGUCUGUUGGCGAGGAGACCGAGGAGCGCCAGCGCUGAUGGCCCCAGCAGACCCAGAUUCUGCAGAUGCGUGACAAACUACCCCCAAGCCCAGCAGCAUUUAAUUUGCUUCUGAAUGCGCAGCCUGGCGGGCAGCUAACGGUGUCUGCCACUUCUCCCCUUGAUGGACGUCUGGGAAGACCGCGCGGUACAGCAUCCUGUUGGACGGAGAAUGAGGGGGAUCACUGCUUGUGUUAGAAUCCCAGUCUGCUCCCAGUGUAAACCAAACCAAGACCACCAAGCUUACACCUGGAAGGUAGGGCUUCCAGUUAGCGUUCCGCCAUGCCAUGCGGAGGUUGGACGUGGCCACGGCCCCACUCACAAGAGGAAGGCGGACCUGGGAAGCCUGGCACUUUUCUUAGACCCAUCAGAGAAUGGAGGGCCAGCAAACUGUCAGCACAAAGUGUGGAUAAGCAGACAGCAUAGGGUAUCACCGCCAAGUCACCAGGAGCCAGUCACUGGGAGGAGCACUUGAAUGGUAAUCUUGAUAAAUGGCCUGAGGCUGAGUGUGAACCAGCUGGGGAUGUGGAAAACUGCAGGGAAUCUGAGUCUCAGGAGGAGCCUCACACUUGCAGGACCCUUCACUUCUAGGAGCCCAGCACAUUCUCAAAGAUCAAAGAAAAAUAUCCUCAUGCUUCAGGAAAUAAAAGGGAGGAAAUAACCAUUUUUAAGCAUGCCCAGGGGGAAAAUAAAGAUUAAGAAAUAUACCCAAAGCAUUCGUCAUCACAAAGGCCUUCCCGCCAAAGGAAACUACUUUGAGAGCCUUAUCUGACCAUCGGAGGGAAAUGAGGUUAAAGCUGGCCCUCUGUAGCCUUCCUGUCUCAAGUAAGGCAAGAAAAAGUGAUCUAAGAUCAUGAUCUUGAAGGUGGUAGGUCUGGGACUCUGGCACUAAUAUCACAGAGGACUUCCCUCUCCAAACCCUGAUCACCUCGUCAACAGGUUCCAGAAUAAUAACAGCAGGUGGAGAUGGGGAGAGCCACAGACAGACUUUAUUUAAGAAGGAGUCCUUCAGGAAACUCAGACAGAAAGAGAAGGGGAAGAUAAACAAGGAGCAAGCUGAAGCCCCGGGCAACUCUGGCCAUAGCAAACAUCACUCACAGCCCAGUUCCUAGCCAGAGUAACAUAAAACCUCACUCUAGAGUCCUAAUCGUCUCAGUUCCUAUUGCUCAAUUCAUCACAUCUGGCUUCCAGCAAAAAAAAAUUACAAAAUCUGCUGAAGGCAAGAAAGACACAGUCUGUGGAGGAAACCACAACCAGAUCCAGACUCAUUAAUGACACUGAUUUCUGGAAUGACCAGGUAUGGAUUUAAAAACAACUCCCAUUAAUGUGCAGUGGAAAGGUCAAAUGGAAGCUGAAUGUGCAAACAAACAAAAAAAUAUACAUAGAAACUAAGAAAGUACCAGAGGAAAUGCUAGAAAUUGAAAAAAAAAAAAGAAAUAGGAGAAAUGAAGAAUCUCUUUGAUGGAUACAUCCAUUUGAGCUUGAAGCGAUGUCAUUAGACAAUUCCUAAACUGAAAUGCAAAAAGAAAAAGAAUAAACAAACGGAUCAAAGUAUCCAUGGGUCAAUCACAUACAUUACCUAUAAAGUGUUAUAUAUGUGUCAUGAAAAUACCAGAAGGAGAAGAAAAUGAGAAAAGAACAGAAGUAGCUGAAAUAUUAAUAGCUGAGAAUUUUCCAAAUUAAUGACAAACACCAAUCAAUAGAUCCAGGAAACUCCAAGAAUACCAUGCAGGAAAAUGUACUGAAAUGUCUACAGCCUGGAAUAUUAUAUUUAAAACUACAGAAAACUAAAACAAAGGCAAACCAAACUUGAAGGGGUAAUGGAGUCACACCAAAAAACAUCUUUCUUAAAGAGGAAAGACUUGUCUAGGUAAACAAGAGAGACCUGAGUGAAUUAUUGAAAGUGUUGAA